CAGAGAAUAGUUUAAUUAGAAUAUUAAUUUUGGAGAUUAAUGGUAGGGGCUUCUUUUUCUCUGA
rnacentral:tRNA from 1 species